CACUCCCACUCCCACACUUCACUCCAUUCCACUCCCAAUCAAAAACAACAACUCAUCUUCCCAAAUUCAAAUCACACACACUUUUCUCUCUCUGUCUCUCAGAUUAGGGUUGGGGUUAGGGUUUGGUUCGAUCAUGGCUUCGUCUUCCUCCGAUCCGGGAAAGUCCGCGGAGACGUCGGAGGCCGCGGCGUUGGCGGUGGCGAACGACCAGCUCUUGCUCUACAGAGGAUUGAAGAAGGCCAAGAAGGAAAGAGGUUGCACGGCGAAAGAGCGCAUCAGCAAAAUGCCUCCGUGCGCCGCCGGCAAACGCAGCUCCAUAUAUCGCGGCGUCACGAGGCAUAGGUGGACUGGUCGUUAUGAAGCGCAUCUUUGGGAUAAGAGUACGUGGAACCAAAAUCAGAAUAAGAAGGGAAAGCAAGUUUAUUUGGGGGCGUAUGAUGACGAGGAAGCGGCGGCCAGAGCAUAUGAUCUUGCUGCUCUCAAAUAUUGGGGUCCUGGGACUCUCAUUAACUUUCCUGUGACGGAUUAUGCAAGAGAUCUUGAAGAAAUGCAGAAUGUGUCGAGAGAAGAGUACCUUGCAUCUUUACGGCGGAAGAGCAGUGGUUUUUCAAGAGGACUAGCAAAAUAUCGUGGACUCUCCAGUCGAUGGGAUCCUACAUAUGGCCGUAUGUCUGGAUCUGAUUACUUCAAUAGCAUGCAUUAUGGUGCAGGGGAUGAUUCUGCAGCAGAAAGUGAAUAUGUAAGUGGCUUCUGCUUAGACAGAAAGAUUGAUUUAACAAGUCACAUCAAAUGGUGGGGAUCUAAUAAGAGUAGACAUUCUGAUGCUGGGACAAGAUUAUCAGAAGAAAAGAAACUUGGUUCUGCUGGAGAUGUUUGCAGCGAACUUAAGCAAUUGGAGCAGAAAGUUCAACCUAUGGAACCUUACCAGAUGCCACAGUUAGGCAGGCUACACAAUGAGAAGAAGCAUAGAAGUUCUUCACUCUCUGCCUUAAGUAUCUUGUCACAAUCUGCUGCUUACAAGAGCUUGCAAGAGAAAGCAUCAAAGAGACAGGAAAAUAGUACUGAUAAUGAUGAGAAUGAAAACAAAAAUACAAUCAACAAGUUGGAUCAUGGCAAGGCAGUUGAGAAACCAUCAAAUCAUGAUGGGGGCAAUGAUCGGCUCAACAUUGCAAUGGGAAUGAGUGGAACAAUGUCUCUUCAAAGAAAUGCUUACCCAUUGACUCCAUUCUUGUCCGCACCACUUUUAACAGCCUACAAUACUGUUGAUCCAUUGGUAGAUCCUGUUCUCUGGACAUCUCUUGUUCCCAUGCUUCCUGCUGGCCUUUCUCGUACAGCUGAGAGGAAGAGCAACCCUAUGGCAGUAUAACUUUAUCAGACAAUAAUAAGGUGGCGGGGACAAUAAUUGUUCAAUUCAAAAUCGUCAGUUACACGAAACAAUUGAUAUGGUUACAAAGACCGAGACCAGUUUGGAGACCAGUUCAACGUACACUAUGUUUCAGCCAGAGGAAUGAAUGAUUGGAAAUUUUAAUUUCCAAUUGAAGAAGAAAUGCUCAAAGAACAGAAUAUAGGUCUGAAGUGCUCAACCAGGUCUAAUAGAAUGCUCCCAUGGCUUUUUUUGCAAGAUUACAUGGGUUAUAGAGGUCAGAGAAAAGAAAAUAUUUACAUCGAUGAUAAAUAUAGAAUUAGCACGAAUCUUUUCAUUUCAAGUCAGAUAUGUAUCAGUUGACAUCUCUUUCAUGUAUAUGCAGUCAGAGUUAUAGAUAAAUUUUGAAUUUACGCGGAAUAUUCUGUACAGAAUAAGAGGUGGAAUUAUGCAAGGACGUGGUAAUUAAUUUAAUUGAUUAGCGUAUGGUUUUUUUCAGGCACUA